rnacentral:lncRNA from 1 species
UCCUUCCCUCUUCGGCUCUCAGCCAGCUUGCCUUCAAGAUCCUCAUCUAGACAAGGCUUAAAUUUGGCUUAACUGUUGGCUCCAGCAUUACCGUUUCACAAGGACGGAGGUGCAGCCUGUGUGGUGAUCCUUGCCAGGCGAAGGCACCAGGAAGAAUCCUUAUCCAAUGACGGGGACCCUAAAACUUGCCCGCACUCUUUUCUCCCGCCUCUGGUUCCUGCCCUGCAUGAGUUCCUGUCCUGACUUCCUUCAGUGGUGGACUAUGAUGUGCAAAUAACAUUUCUUACUUCAGGAGGUGUCCGGCCUCAGAAAAUGCUGCUCCAAAGUCCUUUGGAUGGAAUUGAAUGAGACCUAGAGGAUUCACAAGGAAUCUCCAUUUUGAAGAUGGUGGCAGAUUCAAGAUCAGAAGUCUCACAGAGAGGGCUCCUGCUGAACGCCUGGGAGAAGAAUAGACCAGAAGGAGGCUGGACACAGAGGCUGUGUGGGGCCACUCCAGCCUAUCACCAGGACACCUAAGCCUUCUGUCCAGUUGUGCUUUACACUGUCCUCCAGGCUUCCAAACAGUUUUCAUUGAGUCUUUGGAUGCUCAUUUCUGAAGCCACAUUAAAUCGAGGCUACUUCCUCUUAUUAACCUUUC